GCUAAGCCCGUGCCAGCGGCGGGGGGAAGACGGAGGGUGCAAGCGGUAUCCGGAGUUAUUGGGUGUAAAGGGUCCGUAGGCGGGUUCGUAAGUCAGUGGUGAAAUCCUACAGCUUAACUGUAGAACUGCCAUUGAUACUGCGAGUCUUGAGUGUAGUUGAGGUAGCUGGAAUGAGUAGUGUAGCGGUGAAAUGCAUAGAUAUUACUCAGAACACCAAUUGCGAAGGCAGGUUACCAAGUUACAACUGACGCUGAUGGACGAAAGCGUGGGGAGCGAACAGGAUUAGAUACCCCAGUAGUC
rnacentral:rRNA from 1 species